rnacentral:rRNA from 1 species
UUUGCAUAUUCAAAAAGCGGAGGAAAAGAAACCAACAGGGAUUGCCUCAGUAACGGCGAGUGAAGCGGCAACAGCUCAAAUUUGAAAUCUGGCCUCUUGGGGUCCGAGUUGUAAUUUGUAGAGGAUGUUUCGGGUACCGCCUCGGUUUAAAUUUCUUGGAACAGAAUGUCAAAGAGGGUGAGAAUCCCGUCUUGGACCGGCGGUAGGGCCUAUGUGAAACUCCUUCGACGAGUCGAGUUGUUUGGGAAUGCAGCUCAAAAUGGGUGGUAAAUUUCAUCUAAAGCUAAAUAUUGGCCAGAGACCGAUAGCGCACAAGUAGAGUGAUCGAAAGAUGAAAAGCACUUUGAAAAGAGAGUUAAACAGUAUGUGAAAUUGUUGAAAGGGAAGCGCUUGCAACCAGACUUGAGCGCGGCGGUUCCCCCUUGCUUCUGCUUGGGUUACUCCGCCGUGUCCAGGCCAACAUCGGUUCUGGGGGUCGGUCAAAGGCUCUGGGAAUGUAUCUACCCACGGGUAGACUUAUAGACCAGGGUGUCAUGCGACCUCCCGGGACCGAGGAACGCGCUUCGGCUCGGAUGUUGGCGUAAUGGUUGUCAGCGACCCGUCUUGAACACACGGACCAAA